CGCUGCCGGCCCCGGCCGCUCGCCCCGCGCCGCUGAGAGGAGCCGCGGUUGGGCCCGCCGGACCCCGGGCGGCGGCGGAGCGCGGCGGUCGGCCCCCUUUCCGCACCGCCGCCCUGAGGGGGAACCGCGGGGUCCCCGGCGGAGGAGCCCCGCGGGAGAUGAGGAGGGGCGGCCCCGCUCACCCGGGGGCUCGCCGGCUUUCCCAGCGCCUUGAAACCUGCCCGGUGGCAUCUCCAACCAUCUUCCUCCCCGGCUCUCGGCGGCUGGAAGCACGGUUGAAGGCCUUGAUGCCUGUGUCUCUUUUCUUCCCCCCCAACCUGUGUAAAGCUUUGCAGAUUGUUCCACUCAGCAAAUUUACUCCUUAAACUCAGGCCACAGAUAAAGGAAACGUCUUGGUCUCAACUACUCUGAAUGUGAGGGGCCUUGAUAGGCAUAUUGAAGACGUCACUUAAAAGAGUAAUGGAGCCUAUGUGAGCUGCUCUGCAGAACCGGAGAGCAGAUGCAGCCUCAGUCUCGACAGAGCUCCUUUCCCAACAUCGCAGCCAGCAUUGCAUGGUGUUUUUGACAGAAAACUCGAAACUAGAAUACUAAUAAUGGAAGUAGCUGGAGGCAGAAGAAAAUAUGGGAUGUGCAAACAUAAAAAGAAAUAGAAAACCUCAAAUAACAAAGGCGCUAUUCUUCGCCCAGACUAAUCCAAGGCUCCAGAUUACUUUUAAGACCAAUGCUUAUUUUACCUCUGCAAUGAAAAUCAAACCAUUGGGAGCUAAUCAACUGAUUCCUUAGAGGAAGACUGAGGGUAACAUUCUGAUGGCUGUCACCUGCCUGACCUCCACAGCAAUGGAGAGGAACCUCCUGGGAACUCAACCAGGGAAGGAUGAAAACAUCCACAAGACAAAACAAUUUUAAGAGAGCUGAUUCUUUUUUGAGAGAUCGCUGUUACUCCCCUUCCCACACUUGAAGUUCUCCCUUACACAAGUCUGACAAGCAUCAACUGGCAGAGAGGAAUGUGCUGCACACCUGGAAGACUCAGCAAUACCACCUUUCUAGUCAUCUCUGCAGAUCUUCCCUCUUCUCCCCUAAAACCAUGCAAGAGAAGCACAGGAAAGUGAGACACACAUACACACCACCAGCACCACCCCCAUAGUACUUUCAUGGUGCCCAUUGCUACAGCUGACUAAACAAGUUCACUGAGGUCCUCAGAAUCACAGCUGCUUUUAUUUCCCCCUUAGUCUGAGCAGUUAAAACAUGUGCAAACAUGUAAUAAAUUAGGCUGUAAGAAGCUAAAGCUCCCUUAUUUAGCUGGUGUAGAGCAGGUGAUAACUGGCUUGCACAAGGAUGCAUUCUUAGAGGUACAUUUCUUCUCAGCAGCUGAUUGCUAACUGCACAAUAUCAGGAGUUUACACAUCUAAGACAAUCACUAGAUUUUUCUCACAAGGAAGGUAAGCAAAGAUUGACCAGAGGAUGUGGUUCUGGAGGGGCGUGUGGGCUUUAUUUGAAUCAAUUUCAUUUGAUGUAAUGAUGCUUCUAACAGGUACCCUGGGGGGUUGCUAUUCCCCAUGAUCUAUGAAUCUGGUAUGACUGAGGGUUACAAGGUACUACGUGGGUCUAAUACUGCAGGGGGUCAAACCUACUGAGCAGCUUGAUAAUCAGUCUAAAGGCCAUCCUGGCAGGUCCCAGGAGAGGUUUAAGAACACAAAAGAGCUGAACUUCCAGGUCCUGUCUCCUCCAAAAAUGCCAGAGACUGAGCUAGAAAUGGUGCCUGAACUCUGCCCAGACCGAGAUGGUUUGGAUGCACAUGGGAUCCAAAGUUCAGACCAAAUUGCCAAGAAUCCUGGUGACAAUUAUUUGAAGGACUCUGCCAGUUUUGUAAUACUAUACCACACUAUCUGUUUAUUGUGGAAAUGAUUGUAUUUGCAUGAUUUUUUUCCUGUCCUACAUACUAAAAUUAUCCCUGUUUAAUAGCUGGAGAGGAAGCAGAACUACAGCAAUAUGAAAUUAUUUGCCCAAGGCCAUGCCGUGUUUCUUUUGCAGACAUAAGAAUAUGAAUUCUUAUUUCUUGCCUAUCAAAUUAGUUCUAGUCCCCACUCUGAUUCUCACACCUUAAUCAAGUGAUGAUUUUUCUGUUUUUACGGAUUCUUCUGACACAGCAUUGAAUGGGUGCAAGCCUUUAAGUAGCUUGCUAAUCUUUGGGUUUGAGACACCAGUGGAAUGUAUUUGAAAUAAAAGCCAAAGUAAUUAUCUGAAAACCAAAAUUAACAAAAAGAAGGAAUUCAUUCUACUGAUACAUGUACUUAUGCGGCCAGUUGUUAGGCCGCCUUGCUAACCAUGUUUCACAAAAGCAUGAAACAUAUAAUGAAAUGAAACAUACAAUGAAAUAUAACCUUUGUAUUCACCAGCAUGAGGAAAAUGAUGAAGGCUGACAAAUGGUGUUAGAGUGUCACUGGAUAACUGACAUCAAGAGUUGUAACUAUGGACAAAUCUCUCUGAAAAACACUUUUUGAGGAUUCACAAAAUCUCCGUUAGAUUGGGAAGAAAUCUAAAGCAUGUGUAGGGGGAGAAUGGAAGAGACAAUGUUUUCCUUGUCUGGUGGUUGUGGAGGUCUUACAUAUUCUUCUGAAUACUUUGUACUGACUGCUGACAGAUGAAUGGAAUCCUGGGUCUGAUUCAGCUGCCAAGUUCUUGGUUGGCUCUAAGGCACGUCAAAAUAUUAAGUUCUUGACCUUGCCUUUUGCAAAUGUAUUAAUUGCCUAAAAUGCAUUGGCAAUCAAUUAAUUGCAGUGAUGCAAAACACUAAAGCAGCAUGUGUCUGAUGAUGAAUUUCAGACAUGAAUUUACAAGGCUGGAACUCUCCUUCAAAUCCUGCUUGCUAUGACCUGCACUAUGUGUCAGGAGAAGAGGAAGAGCUGCAGAACCUCCUCCCAGGCCACCCAUGAAGGCUGUACCUGCCCUGAAACCUCUGGGCUGGAUUCUCAGCAGGUCUGACUCAAUCUAUGUUCCUUCAGCCUCCUGCAAUCAUCAGCUCUGAUCCAGAGCCUCUGCUCUGUCCGCCUACAGGCCCUGUGGUACAGUACGCAUCAAGAUUACAGGAGGUUCUCCAGCAAAGAAGUAUUUGUUGUGCUGUAAAUGUCUUGAAGCCCCAAAUUGUCAGGACAAGCCUGUGCAAAACCUUGUAAAAUGGAAGUGCCCUCUGGAUGCAGGUGCUUGAAUUUUUGAGGUAUCUUUGGGUCUUUUUCCACAGAUUGCUUUAUAUUUGGGACAAUGGCAGGAUGCUGAGACAGUCCAUUCUAGUGAGGAACAGGCUAGCUGGGAGUAGAAGGAAGUAGUUUGAAACCAUUUGUGUGUCGGAUGUCUCGGAUUAAAAUACAUCAGAAUACAAAUUACUCUUGUUACAAUAGUAUUUCAAAACAAAGCACUUAUUUAAAAACAAAUACACUUUAUCCGGAUAUAAUUAUUCCUAAUGUGGCAUUUAAGUGGUGAACAAUCACCCAGUAACUGCUUUUGUUCUGCUGCAAUGACACUCUGUGGUUUAUCACCUGUUAGCUUCUCAAGCUAGACUCCUUGCUUUAUGCUAGGGUUAAUUUUAACCAGCUCAUGACUGCAAACUUUUAACAGCUUGGUUUACACUAGGGUUUGAAAAGGUGUCAGUAAACAGUGCAUGUUAAGUUAAAGCUUUCUCUAGCAGUCUCGGUGGGUAAGCACAGCCACAAGGUACAUAAGGGUAACAGCUGCCAAGUGAGCUGAAAGAUUUUUCACGGUGGGGUCUCCCUUUCUCCCAGUUCUCAGCCUGGCAAGAUGGAUAUGAUCUGGCUGCCAGCAUGUGCCACUGCCUCAAUCUCCUGCAUGCCAGAAAGCUGACUAUUUCCAGCACCCCGGUUUCCACACAGCAUGUGCACAAGGAGGCCAAAUUUCCAAAGAGUGAAGUUUGGCUCACAGGUGGGGCCAGAUCACUCAGACUUUCAGGCAGUUAAGCAAUACCAAGGAUUCAUUUCCAGCCUGGUCACCACACUCCCUACAGACGAUGGUUUAGCUUUUUUUAAAUUGUGGCCUCAAUUUUGUGUAACAGACUUGUAGGCAACUGGCCUUUGGGUUAACUUUGACAUAUGGUAGAUGUUGCACAUUCCUUAGUAAAUUGUCUGCUACCGUGAAGCCAGGAGGAAUGCCCCAGGAGAAGAUUGUGUCUUUGCUACAUGAAUUUAUGUAAAGCAUUUGGAGUAAAACAGCUUCUCCCUGGGGAAUCUGUCUCAGAAAAGAAUUUGCACAUAUAAUGACACCUCCAAGAGUUCAUCCAAGUGGUUGUCCAUGGGACGCUCCCACUGUGCCUUCCGGAGCCAUGGGGCAGGGUGGCAGCACGUGGGCUGCAGCUGUUGCUCACCCCUGUGGCACAUUUCUCUCCUGGCAUGUUCGCACAGGUGGCAUUGCAGUCUGCAGUUUUCUUUGGAAGGGUGUGACUCUAAUUGUUUAUGUCUAAUUGCUGUAUUCCUCUUUUGUCAUCAGUUGCAAAAGCGAGCAGACCCUCCGCACCUCACACCUUGUCCCUGCUGGCGUACCUGCCAUUCGUGUGGGAGGCAACAAGGCAGGUCCUACUGGAGCCCAGGGGUAGCGGGGUGGACAUGGCAGAGUGGGCAGCCCCACACCGAAGUCAUCUUACCAGGUGCUCUACCAGGGGCACCGGGCACCCUCACAGCCACCCCAGGUGGAAGUCAAUCAGGAGACCAUUUCUGUCCAUCCCGGCCACCCAGUGAGCUGCAGCCUGCUGUCCCCCAGGUUAUGGCAUCAGAAGACAAAGAAUUCAAAACCAGCCUUACACAGAUUUUCCUCCGAGUAAAUCCCAGUCUUAGGAGCCUGAAGCAUAAUGGAGUGGCAAGGCAAUUAUUUUUUUCCUCCAACUGCUAAUCUUCCUUAGGUUUUGGCCUGUCUUUUUUGCUGAUUCUCAGAAAGGGUGAUUUGUAGGUGUUUAUUGUUGAAAUUUGAAGUGAUUUAAAAUGAAUGCUUAAAUGUAGUAUGACUUUCAGAACUAAGUUAUUCAUACAUUAAUAAUUUUCUAAGCAGUUAAUACUUUUUAAGGACUCCUGUAAUUUAUUAGCACACUUCAUAUCUUAUAGUUUAUGCAGAAAUGCCAAUUAACCCACACAAUGUGCUGGCAAGACAGAUGAGGAUUAAGUCCCUACAGCCAUGGGAAUAGCAGAGAUGCAGUGACCUGAAAAUUGUAUCCUUAGCUCCCUUGCCUGUAAUUAACAUAAAUUCACCAGUAGAGUGCCUUUCCUCUUUUUAUUAAUCCUUUAUCUCCAGUCCUGGAUCUCUGUUGCUCAAGCAAUUAGGACAGAUAGCUUAUGGUUUCUUGAUUCUUUCAGGUCUGGCUUCAGACUUGCAAGGGCUGCCUGACCAGACUUGAUAAACUGGGAGGCAUGAGGGACGGGGUACCACCAUCCUGCAUAUGUGCAAUAAACUUCCAGUUAUGCAGAAAUGCCAAGGCAUGUGCCCAACCAGCUUUCAAGCUCCUAUUUCUUGUGCAUUUGUUUUCAUUGCACAGUUCUGAAUAUGCAUUAUGCCCUCUCUUCUUCAUUCAGUGUCACUCCUUCCAGACUUUUUUUUGGUUCUUUGCUGCCUGCUGGCCCACAAGUACAAUAUGCAGUGUAAGACUAUGGAGAACGCCUUUUGCACGUGCAGCAGAAGCCAAGAAGGAAGGACUUACGGCCUUGUCUUCACUAAUAGAUGUACAGUUCAGAAUAGGAUGACAAAAAUAUUUUAAUAGGGAACCAAAGUGAUUGCUCCAAUGCUGUCCCCCUUGUUUCCAGAAGCAAAUAGUGACAAUAGAGUCUACUGUUCUAACUCCAGUUGCUGUUAAUUGGCAUAAAUUUUCAUGGAUCUUUUGCUUCUGGCUUGAAUUUCAGAGCUACCCAGCUGUCACUAGAGCCAGGCAAAUGAGCAGAGCUGCAGAUGCAUGCGAUAGCUGACUAGGAGGACAUUUGAAACUGCUCAAGUCCUGAUAUGGCUACCAGCAUCACCACACAACUCGACUAUUAGAGAGAAAGAGAUGUCUAACAGAAGCUUUGAGAGAUUUCACAACCAGUAUUAGAUGGCUGUGGGGAAUACUGAGAGUAAUACAGGAGUUAGGUUGGUAAAGAAGUUCGUUACAAUUUUCUUUUUUUCUCUGUGAAAUUACUUAAGGUUUCAUCUCAAAAUAAAGAGGAAUGCAAGCAUUUGUGUCCUUAAAAAAAAAAAAAUCAAUAUACUACUUCUCAGAUUUUAGUAGUGUAAAAAUUAAGGUUAAGGGAGGCAGCAGGCUUCACUGAGGCAACAGGAAAACUUCAAAAGCAUUAGGAUGCUAAUGCUGCUGCUCAGAGUUUCAAGAAGACUAAGCUGUGUUUUGGCUUAGCAAUCUUGUCCCACCAACUGAGAUAUUUAUAAUGUUAUGCUCCUUUGUGCACCUCUUUGAAUGUAGUUCAUUUGUUAAGCAGGAGGGGUCUUAAAAUUGGUAAAACAUUCCCUUAACAAGUUCUGACACAAAGGAGAGCUAGAAACUUACAGCUAAAUGAAAUGAUGGAGAAGGCAAGAAUCAGUGUGCUGUGAAAUAAUUCCAUGAGUCACAGUGACAAAAGGAUCCCCAGGAGUCACCAGCUGACAAUGCUAGAGCAGGUCUAUAGAAGGAAAUACAUCUAGUGAUUUAAUGGGCAAAAUUGAUAGGAUUAGGGGGGUGCUGAGAAGCAGUUGAUUGGAGUCAUCUGUUUAAGAUAGAAUGACAUUAAAAGUAGAAGGUCAUAGGAUUUAAGGAUUAGGAAUAUUAAUCUUAGAAAAACAACAAACUAAGAAGUCAAAGCUGCUGGACAGUUGUCUUUGGCAUAUUAUCAGUUACUGCAGCAGGGGAAGAAUAGUGGCAUGUGAUAGGCAUGGGUUUGUAGUUGAGCUAUGUAUGGAGAUGUGUUUGUUCUACUUGUAAAACCACCAACGUAUCUUCAAAUUAUACUUUUUUUUUUUUUUAAAGGCCUUUAAUAGCUAGACUGGGGAGGCAAAGGUUGUUAAAUAAUCUUUUUCUUAACAUCAAUCCUGAUAUGUGUCAUCAGAAACAGACAAGAUGAGACAAAACUAGAACAUGCUAUUAAAAGGUUGCUGGAAAAUGCCAGUUAUGUUAUAAUUUAUGCAAUGACAGGGGAGCAAUUAACUGCUAAGGUGGAUCUUGUUUCUGAUUACAGUUAUUUCACACAGCUAACAUAGACAUACCGUCAGCUGGGUCUAUGUAGUUUUGGCAUAGAGAGAGAGAGGUAGAGGUGGAAGCAGAUUAUUUUUGGUCUCUCCAGCAACCUUUGGGUUGCACUUUCUAUGAACAUAGGAGUUCCCCGGUAUGAUGUUGUGUCUCCAACCCAAUGUCAUGUUAUAGCAUGGCCAGCCCAAGAAGGCGCAACUGGCAGCCACUCUAUUAGCAAAUUUCAUUCUUGAGUGAUGGUUAAGUAAGAUAUUUUGCUAUUGUUUAAGAUUGGGAAAUAGUAUAUGAAGUGGCCCUUAAGGUAAGUGAUGUGCUGUGGACAAGACACAUUAUCUCUAAUCCUGCCAGGCAGACCAUAAACCAUCCUUAAGUCAUUCACUGCCAGGUGCAGUUCCCUUCAUAGCUGCUUCACCUGAUCCCUGAGUCAGUCAGAGGUGCCAUUGGUGCUCAGGCUUCUGCUAGUGCUGCUUCCUUCUCCUCUGAAACUAUUGGCAACAGAGUUCUGCUGGAAGCCUUUGUGAUGGUCCUUUCAGUGACUCUUUUUCUGUUACCUGGACCUUUUACAGAAUAAACAGUAAGUGCUGAGGUAGAUGAAGAAUGAAAGAUGAGGGUUUUUUUUUAAAACACAAAUCCGUAUAUGUUCUUAGGCUGGUACUUUUUUCCAUCCUAGAGCUGGAAAUCUGGCAGAGUUGUUCCAAAUCCAACUGGUAUUGGUGAAAUCCUUGCUUGUGGUUGUGUUCACCUCACUCCAUGCUGUGUUUUACUAGAUUAGUAAACAUGUUGAGAAUGUUGUGGUAAACAUGCUUACUGCUUUCAAUAUUUGUGGGUGAGUGAUUUUUAAAGCAUAUUUUAGUACCCUCCUAGUUCUUAUCGAAACAACCUCUGCCUAUAUACUCUUUGCUGUAUACUGAAAUAUACUUUGCUGUAUGCUGAAACUCUAUACUCAGUUUCUAGGCGGAUUUUGCAAUCAAAGCAGCAUGAAAUCAAACAGAACAUCAGAGUUCUGUGAGUGCACUAAUAAACACGUUGACUGACCAUCUAAA